UGCCCAGCAACUCCUAUCCCUAUCUCCGCGUGGUAUCGGCCAAGCUGCUAGCAACCUUAGUUAUGAUCGGUUAUCGGUCCUUAGGCUAACCGGGUAGG
rnacentral:ribozyme from 1 species